GAUGAACGCUGGCGGCGUGCCUAAUACAUGCAAGUCGAGCGAACAGACGAGGAGCUUGCUCCUCUGACGUUAGCGGCGGACGGGUGAGUCACACGUGGAUAACCUACCUAUAAGACUGGGAUAACUUCGGGAAACCGGAGCUAAUACCGUAUAAUAUAUUGAACCGCAUGGUUCAAUAGUGAAAGACGGUUUUGCUGUCACUUAUAGAUGGAUCCGCGCCGCAUUAGCUAGUUGGUAAGGUAACGGCUUACCAAGGCAACGAUGCGUAGCCGACCUGAGAGGGUGAUCGGCCACACUGGAGCGGAGACACGGUCCAGACUCCUACGGGAGGCAGCAGUAGGGAAUCGUCCGCAAUAGGCGAAAGCCUGACGGAGCAACGCCGCGUGAGUGAUGAAGGUCUUCGGAUCGUAAAACUCUGUUAUUAGGGGAGAACAAAUGUGUAAGUAACUAUGCACGUCUUGACGGUAACUAGUCAGAAAGCCACGGCUAACUACGUG
rnacentral:rRNA from 1 species